UUCCAGACUCCUACGGGAGGCAGCAGUGAGGAAUAUUGGUCAAUGGGCUUACGCCUGAACCAGCCAAGUCGCGUGAGGGAAGACUGCCCUAUGGGUUGUAAACCUCUUUUGUCAGGGAGCAAUUGGCGCUACGUGUAGCGUUAUCGAGAGUACCUGAAGAAAAAGCAUCGGCUAACUCCGUGCCAGCAGCCGCGGUAAUACGGAGGAUGCGAGCGUUAUCCGGAUUUAUUGGGUUUAAAGGGUGCGUAGGCGGACGCUUAAGUCAGCGGUAAAAUUGCGGGGCUCAACCUCGGCGAGCCGUUGAAACUGGGUGCCUUGAGUGGGCGAGAAGUACGCGGAAUGCGUGGUGUAGUGGUGAAAUGCAUAGAUAUCACGCAGAACUCCGAUUGCGAAGGCAGCGUACCGGCGCCCAACUGACGCUGAAGCACGAAAGCGUGGGUAUCGAACAGGAUUAGAUACCCUCGUAGA
rnacentral:rRNA from 1 species